ensembl:lncRNA
UUGAGAAUCGUAAUCAACCAGAUAUGCAAUGAUGGCGCACAAAAGAAGAUAUAAAGAACAUGUACUUGAUGAUUUGAGACAACCAUCAAAGGCCACGAAAUAUCGACGGAUAACAGAAUCUGAGAAUUAUUUUAAGUGCCGAGACCGAGGGACUUACAAGAACUAUCUCAAUUGCCCAUCCUCCCACAAAGAAAAGAGACGAGUCUUAACGGAGCUGUCCCAGAAUGCUCCUCAUGAAGGACCUCUGACAGAAAGUGCAAGCAGUCAGACAGCAGGACUACAGCAUGAGCAGGACACACAAAACAACAAAUCCUCAGAGGUAAAAUGUCUACAGAUUGAAUUUUUAAAUUUUAACAUUUUUAAACUUAAUGCUUAUUUGUUGCAUUGUUAUCAUUGUUCUACAAUGUAAGUAAAUCAGGGAUAAGCUUAUAUUUUCCCUGUUGUCCUGUAUGUGUAUGUGAUAAAGAUACAUGAAAAAUUGCUUGUAAUAAACACACCCAUGUCUCCUAAUGCUGUUGUAUGACUCAUUACAGCUUGACAGUGAGGCAGCCUGGAGACAGUCCCACUUAGUCCAAGUGAUGGAAUUACCCUCCACGUCAGACCAAGACAGACCUUGGACUCACAUAAGUGGGGACCAACCUGAUAUAAAAAUGCUAACAGAAUUACAGGACAUAUCCUGGACACAGCCAGAAGAGAACAAGUCUGUUCCAACUGCUGAUCAGCAUGAGCCAAACAAAAAGGUAUGGCAGGACAUAUCCUGGACACAACCAGAAGAGAACAUGUCUUUUCCAACUCCUGACCAGCAAGAGCCAAACGAAAAGGCAGGCCCAUUAACAGAUGGCGAUGAUCCUGUGUAUCCCGGCGCACCUCUGACAAAAGGACAAAGUUUACUGUUGCUUAUGUCCUUUAUACUAAGGCACAAUCUUACAGCUGUUUCACUGGACCAUCUACUGAAAAUUUUCAAUGAGCAUUUUCCAGGCAUGGUACCAGUGACCACAUAUCUUUUCCGAAAAGCUUAUGGUCAGUAUGGAAAUUAUGAACCCCAUUUCUACUGUCCAACAUGUGAAAACUACUUAGGGAAAAAUACUGGUGAGCUACAGUGUGACAUUUGUCACACAGUAACUGAUUCAGACAGCUCUCUUAAAAGUGGAUGCUUUUUCCUGGUUCUUAGUUUGGCCUCACAGAUCAAAACAUUGCUUGAGGAAAAACAAACAAAAAUUCAAAAAGAUUGGCUGAAUUCAGAUACAAUUUCAGACAUCCAAUGUGGAGAUGAGUAUCAAAAACUUAAGGAAUCUGGUGCAAUGGGUGAAGAUGACAUAUCUUUAAUUUGGAACUGUGAUGGAAUCCCACUGUUCAGAAGCUCCAAGUACCAGAUCUGGCCCAUACAGUGCCAAGUAAUAGAGCUUGAGCCUAGAGAACGAAAGGCAAAUAUCUGCAUUCCAUGUCUUUGGUUUGGGGAAAAAAAGCCCUAUAUGCUCACAUUUUUGAAGCCAUUCGUAGAUGAACUGUCAAUUCUACAGAAAGAUGGAAUUAAAUGGAAAAAUUCAGCAAACAUAGAGCACACUUCCAAGGUUUUUGCUCUCAUAUGUAGUUCUGAUUCAGUCGCCCGCCCACUUCUAAGGAACACUAAACAGUUCAAUGGUUUUUAUGGGUGUGACUUUUGCUACCAUGUUGGGGGAGGUCCCUACACAAAUAAAGACCCUGUGCCAAAACUUAGAACUGAAGUAGAGCACUUUGAUCACGCAUUGGCCGCAACACUUGAGAAAACUGUAAUGGGAGUAAAAGGACCUUCACCUUUAAUGAGACUUGAAAACUUUCAAAUGAUAAAUGGAUUUGUUCCAGAGUAUCAACACUCUGUCUGCCUUGGGGUUACAAGGCAACUAGCUAAUCUGUGGUUUGACUCCAGAAAUCAUGAACAAGAGUGGUACAUAGGAACAAAAUCAGACCUUCUAGACAAAGAGCUAGUUACAAUCAAACCACCUGUUGAGAUAAUCAGAGUACCACGGUCUGUGGCAGACAGAAAGUACUGGAAGGCAUCAGAGUGGAGGUCAUUCCUCUUAUUCUAUGCUCUGCCUCUUCUGAAUGGGGUUUUACUGAGGAAAUUCUGGAACCACCUUUUUCUGUUUGUGUUUGCUAUGCACAUUCUUUUGGGAGAAAAAGUGAAACGCUGUGAUAUUGAUGUAGCAGAAAGAGCUCUCAGAAAGUUCACUUUGCAGUUUGAGAAGUUAUAUGGAGCAGCAAAUAUGACUUUCAAUGUUCAUCUACUGACACACAUUACAACAAGUGUAAGGAACUGGGGGCCUCUGUGGGCCACAUCAACCUUUUCCUUUGAAUCAUUUAAUGGCACUCUGUUAAAGUACUUCCAUGGAACCACCCAUGUUCCUGAACAAAUUGUUAGAAGGUUUCUUUGCUGGAGGAGUGUAACGCAGAAAGCUGAAAAGGUGAUGGCAGAUGCAAAUGAUGGUGUUAAAAAGAUUUUUGCUGGUUUACAAAGCAGCCAUUUACAUUCUUGUAAGUCAGCCAGCCUCAAUGAAAAUGUCAGGGUUUUUGGCAAACCCUGUCAUGGUACACUAUCACCAUCCCAAUCAUCUGCUGUCAAAAAUUUGCUGGGUGUUACAGUCAGUCAAUGUGUAUUUUAUCAUCGUUUCAUCGUAAAAGGAAUACUGUACCAUUCAAGCAGUUACACAAACCUUAAAAAAAGGAUAAACUCAACAGUAGAAUUAAUGGAUGGACGACUGUGCAGAAUUCUUAGCAUGUUAGUAUUCAGAUUACACCAUGUAUCAAUGCACUGUGUAUUGGUUAGGGAGCUCAAGAAUACCGGUAAACUGCUCUGCAGGGACAGUGAGCUAAACAUUACUUCAUAUUUUGUUUCUGAGGUGUUGCAGUCCAACAAUGUAUGUGCGGUUCCCACUGAUCUGUUUUACAGAAAAUGUGUUUUGAUAGAAGCAAAAGCCAAAAACUAUGUUAUUCCACUCCCAAAUAAUAUAGAGAGAGAUUAAAUAUGAACUGACACAUGAAUGAGAGAUAUGCAUAUUGCUCACUGAGCCUGUUCGUGCCCUUAUCUGGAUAUAUGUUGUUCCUUGUUUUUCUUUUAUUUUGUAUGGUGCAAUGGUAUGGCUCUGUGGAAGCACCCUAAAUUUUGUUGUACCAAUGACAAUAACGUCUAUUCUAUUCGCUUAUCCUCCAAGCUUGCAAGUUGUUUUUUU